GGGAAGGUGUUCCCGAGACCGCUCCCAUCCUCACCCCGCCUCCCCGCCUCCCCGGCUCCAGCCUCCGCCGGCGGAGCUCCACUAUGCCAGACAGUUUCGACACUUUGCAAAGACAAAGACCAGAGGGAGGAGGAAGAGGAGGACGAAGAGGAAGAGGAGGAGGGAGAGGAGGACGGAGCGAUGUGAGCUGGGAAGGGGGCGAGUGUUCGGGACACCCCCCCUUUAUUCUCCUCGGAGCCCCUCAUCCCCAAAGCCGCGGAAACUCCAGCGGGUCUCCAGCUGCGCUGGGACCAUUUUCAGAAUCAAACUUUCUGACCUGGCAAUGCCAAUAGAAGAAAUAAUCAUUGCCAGGACCUGUGGUGAGCAAACACUUUGAGCUUUGUGGCCAGGACAGUUUCCUCUGAGGACCUGAGAUGGACAGUCCCUCAGCCCCCUGAGCAUGGAAGGCACGUCCUCUCUGUGCGCGAUGCUGGCAACAUGAGAGAGAGCCAGUGUAUGUGGCUCUGGGGCACUCUGAGCUUCCUGGUGACCCUGAAACCACAGCAAAACACACCCAUUCUCCGUUGCCUGGGAGCAUGCUGUACCCGACGGGAGACAGGCAGAAGAAGGAUGAACUAGGGGUUGGCCAGUCCUGUGGAUCAUUCCUGAAUCCUUGAGAUUCCCGUAGAUGAAGAAACGGAGUCUCAGAGAGGUUAAGGAAUUCCCCCGAGGUCGCACAGCGGAUGACAGGCAAGCCUCAGUGCCUCCAUCCGGCAUGCUGCUUAACGGCCACAUCUCUGGUGACAGCAUGGGAAAGACCCGGUUCUAAUUAAGCAUCGUCACCCAUCACCCUUUCCGGAGGACAGUGGCAAAGACAUCGUGCCUCUGUCCCGCACUGUGAUCCUUCCUCCGAGGUCCUCACCCCCG